GUUCAUUUUCUGCCUUCAUCCUGCGAAGUCUACUGGUUUCGGAGCUCAAAAUUCAAACUCGGGAUACUGCUUCAAAGAUGAUGGCAUGUACAAAGUUUGAGGGUAAACGAUUUGGCGAGAAAAAUAAUUUAAAUAUUUUGUGAAGUACAGUUGAAGUUGUUCUCUUGCAAUAGGGACUUUACAAAGAUUUGUAAGGUAAGAUGUCACAAGGCAUGAAGAAGCGGAGUUGGAAGAAUUGAAACUGGAGACAGUCAACACCAUUAGAUUGGCUUGUACUUAGGUAAGAAUAAUGUUGAACAAAUAGGGAAUAAAAAAAUAGACUGAUGUGGCAGCUAAUAAUUGAGUAUUUUUAUGAUUUUUUUUUUCCCCUUUCUUCAGUGAAAAAUUGUCAAGUGUAAUUUGGAAAUACUUUUCAGUCAUUGACUUUGACCACGUAGCAUGAUUGCUUAGGUAAAUUAUAGUGUUUUGAAUAAG
rnacentral:lncRNA from 1 species